AAUAACCAAAUAUAACCUUUGGGCUAAGAGUCAAGUUAGUAAUUUUUCUGACAUCCCCCCCCCCGGGUGCCCAGGUAUCGUAUACGCCUCCAAAAUAAAGAGCCUUAAGUACUAGAAGAAAAGCACCUAUACCUAACAAAAUUAAGUGAAUACCCAAAAUUGUAGUCAUUUUAUUUCUAUCUUUCCA
rnacentral:antisense_RNA from 11 species